AUGCCUCGAAGCUGGAUCAAACAAUCAACGCCGCUUCCAGCAAAAAAGAAUAUCCAAAAAAACACAAGAAAAAAAGAUCUCAGAUCGUGCCAAAGGGAGACAGCCGAGGGACCAGACAGAAACAGGACACGCACCAAAAAGGAGGCCUCCGGAUCGGACCAAGCCAAUGCCGAGCUGAAAGGCUCGGCCCUCGCGGCGCGGGUUGCGGAACGGCGGAUCCGCGGCGCGCUUCCGCGGAUCUGGCGGCGGCGGCGGCGACGGCGGAAGCGGGGAGCUUCCGCGGUCAGAUCCGGCGGCGGUCCACCUAGGGGCUGA
rnacentral:rRNA from 1 species